AUGGUGUGCAUCUAGUGGGGGUCUGGAGGGUCUGGGGGUGCAAGCAGCCCAGUAGGGAGCUAGAUGGUGUGCAUCUGGUGGGUGCCUGUUCCUCAGUGUACCCCCAGCACUGGCACUUACCCUUUUGUCCACCCAAUUUGUAGUAAGUGUUUCUUCAGUCCUCCCACCACUCGGAGAUAUCUGUGAGCCAGCCCCACAACAUUCUGCUAGACUGAACUUAGAGACCCAAAGCCCCCUCUGAGCUUUGGGUGUCCCUAGACCCCACUUCUUACUGCCUAGCCUUCAUUUUCACUUGUUGCUAAAAAAGAAAGCCAGCAUUUAUUAUGGAGAUUUUUCAGACAACGCAAGCAGAGAAAGCAAUGUGCUCUUAAACACCGCAGUUUUAGCUUUUUUUUUUUUUUUUUUUAAAUUUCAUCAUCUAGAUGCAGUGCCCACCAAAUCCAUCUAUCCCUCUGCUGCUUCUGAGCUCUGGACCCUCCCUUGCUCCCCACCGCCCCAGUCCCCAGCCUCGGACUGUUUUGAGGCUAAUUCUAGAGAUCACAUUGUCUCUUCUGUGCAUCUUUGAAUAUUUAUCUCUGAAAAGCGGCUGCCCCGUCAUAAAAACAUAAAGAUGCUAUCCAUUACCCCGAUUUUUAUAAAAAUACGUGUAAUACUAUUAUCACAAUUAACCACUUAAUGACUUUUCUUUCCUGCCAUCUAACCUCUAUGCAGUGUCCAAAUCUUCCUGACGGACUCAUAAAUUUCUUUUAUGAUUGGCUUAUUCAGAUCUCUGUCCAAAGUACUUGCUGCACUUUCAAGGGGCCUGUGGGGUUCUCAAAGGUAAGUACAGCUUGAAAUUCAGUGCUUUAACCAAGUACAAAUUUAGUGAGCCUCAGUUUUCUCCCUGAAAAUGGGCCCAAUUCUGGGUACCUCCAAGGGCUGUCAGGCAAAUUGGAGACAGGUACACACAUAUCCCCCAGCCCCAUAUCAAACAAAAAUUAGACACGGCAGCCAGCAGCUGUUAUUUGAAUUAUCGGUUUUUCACGGAAACCUCUGAAAGAGUUGGACUGGAUAGACAAGACAGAGCUGGCCAUCAUCCACAAAACAAAAGGCGCCUGGCAGGCCAGGGCCCCUGAGUGAUUUAGACAGAGCGUGUAUUACAUCUCAACAAGGGCAGCCUGUAGCCCAGGGGGCUAGGGUCCCGGGACCCCCCACCGGGUGCUGGUCCACUAGGUGGCACUCUCUGCUGUGUGUCCAGGACAGACCACUCCCCAAGGUACCCAGGCCACAGCCAAAACAUCCCAGGUAAUUCUCAAACAUCAGCUCCACAUGCCAUGCAAAACGCAGUGUUUUUUCCUCUCUGCAUCCCUCCCAGCCCAGUAGCAGAAACAAGAAAAUGCAAACAUUUCAUAACAAAUUGCUGAGACCAAACACUAGACAGCCCACCUCCCUUUUACUUCUCCGUCCUAGCUAUAUCUGAUUGCUCAUUAUUUUACAGAUAAGAGGAUGAUGAGAGGGUCGAGGAUUUGCCCAAGAUCGGCUAGUAAGCAGGACCCGGGGCUCCGACCCAGGGCUGACCAUUCUCAGAAGAUUUUGCCCUAUUCUCAGCAUCUAGACCUGGAACAGAACGGGAGCGAGGAUGUCUGGUGCCUAGUCAUAUCCACACCCGGGGAGUGUCCGCGUGUGCACAGCUGGCUGCUCGGGGCUCGAGUGGAGGCCGUAAUAUGAAUGGAGACCUAGUCUGCUGGUUGAGACCUUGGCAGUGACCACUGUGGGCAAUGAGCCAUUGACCAACAAUUCCAUGUGAGCCUGUCUCUAAUAUUGAAGAUUUAUAUAUCUUAAUGGACAAGAACCACAAAGGCUCAAUGAUGCUCUCCUCGUGGUACCUGGAAGAUCCUGAGCCUCUGUGGGGCAGGAAGAAAGGGACUCAGUUCAUGCUUGACUUCAGCAAGUGGAUGCGCCCCCUCCAACUGAAUCAUCCUGGAACAUCAAAGGUCUCAGUUUUUACCUCUGUGGGUAAGGAAAGAAGAGAUUAAUGACCCCUGAUUUAAUUAUUUAAUAUGGAAUCGUUGUCCUGAGUAAGGAGCAUAGAUGAGAAUAAAGAAUGAGCACAGCUGGUAUGGCUUCAUGGCUACCUUCUGGGGAAGAUCUUGCCUGUUUACCUCUGGAAAAGAUUGCUCAUCCCUCAGAAGCAAUGGCUUUGAUCUGCUUUAAGCACUGGACCCCGCUCACAAACCCCACACUUUUUCUCAGUAUUUACAUGAAGACCCCAACACCUGUGUGAGUAAUAUUUAAAUGUAUUGUUUUUCUCAAUGGGAUGCUCUGUGUUAUUAUAGAGUAUCAGUGAUAUCUGAGCAAAGGAUCUGGUUGUUCUGAAGAAGAAAACACGGCCAUAGGCACACAUUACUAGAGAAGAAGAAGGCUAACACGGACCGAUGAUGACAAGGGUCAGCACUAUAAGUCACUGACGAUGACUACAUUUUUUUCUGUCUGAGGUUCACAUCACAGUAUAUCUCAGGUGCUCCCUCCGUUAGCCAGGGGAUGGAAGUUAGGCCUGUGGAGCAUGCACUGUGCAUUAGAAUCAGGCACCUUCAUGCAAUGUUCUUUUCUCAGUGGAUCAAUGAAACACGAUACAAAUAAACACACAAAUGUAAAUGUAAAGGAAUAUUUUGAGACAUUGAUCAAUUCGAAAAUAAAUAUUUGACCACAAAUUCUGCUACGACAUGUAGAAAAUACAGAAGUCUGUUAAGAUUAAUUGGCAUAAAAAUUAUAUAAAAUUUAGCCAAGUUCACAUAUGAAAUGUAAUUAAUGGAUUAAGCCCUAGUAUGGGUUAACACCUUCAUUUUAAUUUUGAGUCUUACUUGAUUUCUCAAGACACCUUCCUAACAACCUGAAUCCUAAAUAACAAAUAGUGAAAGGGGAAAUGCAGAGAUAAUUUGAAAAAUAUCAAAUCAUUUUAUUUUGUUUUUCCUGCUUUGUACUCCCUGGAUGGAUGAUGACUGACCCAUUGUUUCCUGGCUGGGAGGUCCAUGGUUUUCCUAGCCUCAAGUUUAAAGAUCAAGGGAACUGAUAAUGGAUUCCGCCCCCAAGCGGAUUUUCACUCUCCUUCGCUCAUGAGCUUCAUAAUGAGCUGUUUUAGACUGUAAUGCAGACAGUAAUGGAUACCCUGCAAGCUGAUUUUAUACAGUCUAAAUUGAAACUGAACCUCGUGAUCCAGCCUCUGUGUUCGCAGGAAAGACACCGUAAUGGCUGCCCUAAGCUGAUGUAUAAAUUCUUCCUUGCUUGUGAGAUUCCUGCUCUAAUCCUUGUAGCCCUAAGAUAGACACAGUUGCAUAUAGUCAGUGUUCAUGCCUCCACUUGGUACUUUUAAAGACUACGCACACUAUUGUUGAAAUACUACUCGUUCUCUGGAAGACCGACUAUGUCCAAACGAAUGAAGCCACCAGGCUGAUCUUUGGUCAUGAGCAAUAUAGACACAGUGAUGGAUUUCUCCCCAAAGAUGAUUUACACCUUCUCCUUUGGUGGUGAUCUUCAUGGUCAGCUCUUUGGGUUCAUAAUAUAGACACAGUAACAGAUACCCCAAAGCUGAUUUUAGACAUUCGUCCUUGGUCACCAGCUUCUUGAUCCGCUGUUUGCGUUCAUAGCAUAGAUACAGUGAUGGAUUUCCACCCAAAGAUGAUUUACACCUUCUCCUUUCAUUAUGAUCUUCAUGGUCAGCUCUUUGGGUUCGUAAUAUAGACACAGUAAUGGAUGUCAUUAAGCUGAUUUUACAUUCUCCCUCGGUCAUGAGUUUUGUGAUCAACUCUUUUGAUUCAUAAUAUUGUCACAGUAGAUGAAUACCCUCAAGCUGACGUCCACAUUCUUCCCUGGUUAUGAGGCCCAUGAUCUGCUCUCUGUUCAUAUGAUAGGCGCUGUAAUAGAUGCCUUCAUCACUGGUCACCGGGUUCAUGCAUCAUAGGGACCCACCAUAGAUGCUUUCUGACUGAUGUUCACAUUCUGGUCACCGAGUCAACAGUUACCCUACAUGUCAGGAAGACAGAGACCAAUGUGAGUACGAAAGGCCAACUCCAGAACAGUGGGUGGAUCCUGCCUGGUCCUCACCUCCAAGGUUGCUUGCGUUGUUAGGGUCACGGCUACAAUCGGAUCAGGGAACCCUAUGGAAGAGGAGGUGUGAAGAUUGUAAGGACCAAUGAGAACGGAGGACAGCAAGGAAACGAGGCCUUCUAGAUACAGCAGGACCGAUGCAGAUCUGAACUCAUAGAAACGGUGACAGUGUGCAUGGGGCCUGCACAGGUCUAAGCCAGAUGGGGUUCCAGCGCUGAGAGGGGAAGUGGACACAAGCCCCCAUCCCUGACUCAAGCUAUCUCCAAUCGAUAGACUCUCUCAGAGGAAAAACUCUUUUUCUCCAAUGGAAUCUCACUGGAUACAUAGACUACCCCGAAGAGCAGAGAGCAGGCUCCGUGCUCAGAUGGCCAACACAAAAUGAACUCAGUGGCAUUUUCGGAAGAGCUUGUGACACAUAAUGCUUUGUCUGGGUAUUGUUUUUCUUACCCUACAGACAUUUUGCUUAUAUAUUGUGGUUUCUGAUAUUAGUUUUUAUGAGUUUUCUAUGUCUGUGAUUGUAUGUGUCUCAGAGCCUGUAUUUGUUUCUGGUGAUUUUACAUAGGCUCUUUUUUUUUUUUUGCUUAUUCUGUUUUGUUUGCCUUUAUAUUUCCUCCUCCUUAGUUUAGAUACCUAUUUUCAUUGUAAUGAGAAAUGAGAGUGGGAUAAUUAGUGUGAAUUUGGGUGGGUGUGUAAAUAGGGAGGAUAUGGGAGGUGUUGGGGGGCGG